rnacentral:rRNA from 1 species
GGAGUAAAGCAGGGGAUCGAAAGACCUCAUGCUUUUGGAGCGGCCGAUGUCUGAUUAGCUAGUUGGUAAGGUAAUGGCUUACCAAGGCAACGAUCAGUAGUUGGUCUGAGAGGACGACCAGCCACACUGGGACUGAGACACGGCCCAGACUCCUACGGGAGGCAGCAGUGGGGAAUUUUGGACAAUGGGCGCAAGCCUGAUCCAGCAAUGCCGCGUGAGUGAAGAAGGCCUUCGGGUUGUAAAGCUCUUUCAGUUGAGAAGAAAAAAUUCUGGCUAAUACGCAGAAUUCAUGACGGUAUCGACAGAAGAAGCACCGGCUAACUACGUGCCAGCAGCCGCGGUAAUACGUAGGGUGCAAGCGUUAAUCGGAAUUACUGGGCGUAAAGGGUGCGCAGGUGGUUUUGUAAGUCAGAUGUGAAAUCCCCGGGCUUAACCUGGGAAUUGCGUUUGAAACUACAAAGCUAGA